CAGCCAGAGACAACAUCAUAGAAGGCUACCAGUUGUCUGGAGAUGACAUCCAGUACAAGCUGUUCCAUCACCUUUCCAGGGACGGAGGUGAAGCUGACUGGCCUAUAAAAUGCUCAACAGCAAAACAUUACCCGCAAAUCUACUUCAAACUCUGAUCCUAUUACAGAAGAAAGGUAGUGCUUGGGAAUACUUAAGUAAUUUCAGCUCAAAGUUGUUGACCACAAUUAGAAUGAUUCUUAUUUUCUUUGACAUUUUUCCCAUGAACUCUAUUUUCACUGUAAGAACAUUUUCACAUCUGUAUGGAAAUCAGCGUUAUUAUAUUUUGCCCUCUGGAGGCUGUCUAGUUGCUAAAUAUUAAGUAUAUUUUUUUCUAAUUAGAAUAAUGUUCUUUGCUUAAUUUCACUGGCAUAUUCUCAUCUUUGAAUACUUGGCUAGUGGUUCAAGAGAUGAAAUGGUGCAAUGCUCAGUCAGAAUUGAUACCCAGACUUCAUAUCUGACCUACCCCUUCCCUCUGCUUCCGCAUGUUAAAAACCAUCUGAAUGCACUCAGACCUCAGACUGAAUUCUAACCUUGAAGUCUCAGAGCUGGAGAAGUGUGGGUGUUAAUUCAUGCCCAAAAUGCCACCAGAACAAUUCUCAUCUUGUAUUUUCUUUUGUAAAAUAUUAUUGGUAUAUUUAUAUAUGUAUACAAAUAAAGACUUUUAAAACAAA